rnacentral:rRNA from 1 species
UGCGUAGGUGGCCUGGUAAGUCAGAGGUGAAAGCUCGCAGCUUAACUGUGGAAUUGCCUUUGAUACUGUCAGACUUGAAUCAGGAUGAGGUAGGCGGAAUGUGACAUGUAGCGGUGAAAUGCUUAGAUAUGUCAUAGAACACCAAUUGCGAAGGCAGCUUACUAGACCUGUAUUGACGCUGAGGCACGAAAGCGUGGGUAGCGAACAGGAUUAGAUACCCUGGUAGUCC